ACUGCGCAUAGUGAAGGUCUUGGCACUAGAAUCUAUCGGGCCCGACCUGGAGCAAGUUGUCAGUUUCCUGAGAUGCUUUCCGUGCCUGGAGAAGCUAUAUAUCGAGGUGAUGUUCCUUUCCCGUUAAAUGUUAACCAUAAGGGAGUUCAAUUCGUGAGACCUUUUUCCAAGUUUACAAUGACAAUGUACUACGAUUUCUGAAGGUUCUUUUGGAGGAUUUCGGUACAUACAUGCCCCCCAUAUUGGUUGCUUGAUCCAUAUGGUUACAAUCAAUAAGCAUUUCUCCUUUGGAUUCAUCUGUACUAGUUUUCUUAGGGAACUUCUCAUCCACUCCAACCUCUUGUGAAGAAGGCUACAUUUUUCUAGAAUGUAAUCAAAUGCCCAUGUUAAUCAUGUCAGAUCAAAGAUGGCAUGUUAGUGCAUUUUCCAAAUCCUGCAAACCAAAUAGCUAGGCCUAUAGUAAUGUUCAAAACUGCAUGUAGGCACUAACACGUUUUCUUCUUUUGGAGAUAAGAUUAGGCCCAGUGGUGGAUAAUGUGAUACAAUAUAACAAUCACGUCGAAUGCCUAGAUCUGCAUCUCUCAGAAAUUACUUUGAACUCCUACCGAGGGACCUUACCGGAG
rnacentral:lncRNA from 1 species